rnacentral:misc_RNA from 1 species
GCCAGUACCAUCGUCACCGCCAUCAACCCUUUGUCCAGUGAUCCUGAACAAGAACAGCAGAAGAUGGCCGUUAGCAACAGCAGCCAGCCCGACGAUGGAACAUCGGACGCCACCACCAGCCAACUCCAACGACAAAACUCCUCUGGCUUUGGCUUCAAGAAGUUCUUCAAUGAGGUCAAAUCUGAUAUCAAGAGCUUUGUAGCAAAUACUGGGGAUAGGGAGUAGCGGUGUUGUCAGUGGCAACAAACAAACCAGAGAAUGAGGAGGAGGAACUUGCGCUAGCAGCUACCAAAAUUCAGGCUAGUUUCCGUGGACACCAAACAAGACAGGCAUUAAAGACCGGAGACUUACA